AUCCACAAUUCUGCCAAGAAAAUGAUUGGCAACCACCAUCUCAUCUAGAAGGACCACUUCUGCUUUUGGGGUUUCAGUUCUUCUGGUCUUCCUCAUUUCCGUAUGCUUUGUUUCAUUUGUGUUGAGCAAUUUAAUAAGAACAGAAUUUUGUUUUCUCACAGUUCAGGAGGCAAGAGGUCCACGAUCAAGAUGCCAAUAUCUGCCACAAGUUCUCUUGCUGUGCUGUCGUGUGAGAAGUCACCAUCGCUCAGCUGUGCCAACUCUCCCCUCCCGCCUCCCAGGAAGGCAGUGGCGUGUCCAGUUCACUAAGGGACUCCCGUGGGGUCAGCUGUCCCAGUGACGUCGUCUGUGAGCUCUGGGCAAGCUGCCUCUCGUCUGUUCUCAUAAAGACCUCAGCAGGCUUAGAGCUCAUGAUGUGGGAGUUGGAGAAAUACUUGAUGUUUUAAAAGAAAAAAACUGCACAAUGGAACAGGCAACAGGAUGCAAGCGGACAAGGAGCAGGUUCCGGGGCACACCAACGAGACAGAACACUCCUACUUCUCAUGACAUUGAAGAAGAAUCCCAAGAAAAUUCCAACAGCACUGUACUUGGCUAGAGUGGACGGAGGAGGACCUAGUAGGCUUCCGGGAGCAGAGAGUCCUGCGGGAUCCACCGGGCAAAGAGAAGCUGGCUGUGCACAAGUGGAUUUGGAUCUAAAGGUAUGUGGUCUUGCCCAGGGGUGGGAAGGAGGAUACUGCUAUGGUUUGGAUCAGAAAGUACCCCCAGAAACUCAUGCACACAGAGCGCGG